rnacentral:rRNA from 1 species
AGAGUUUGAUCCUGGCUCAGAUUGAACGCUGGCGGCAUGCCUAACACAUGCAAGUCGAACGGAAACGAUGGAAGCUUGCUUCCAGGCGUCGAGUGGCGGACGGGUGAGUAAUACUUAGGAAUCUGCCCAGUAGUGGGGGACAACUCGGGGAAACUCGAGCUAAUACCGCAUACGCCCUACGGGGGAAAGCGGAGGAUCUUUCGGGACUUCGCGCUAUUGGAUGAGCCUAAGUCGGAUUAGCUUGUUGGUGAGGUAAAAGCUCACCAAGGCGACGAUCCGUAGCUGGUCUGAGAGGACGAUCAGCCACACUGGGACUGAGACACGGCCCAGACUCCUACGGGAGGCAGCAGUGGGGAAUAUUGGACAAUGGGGGCAACCCUGAUCCAGCAAUGCCGCGUGUGUGAAGAAGGCCUGCGGGUUGUAAAGCACUUUCAGUAGAGAAGAAAAGUUCAGGGUUAAUACCCCUGAAUCUUGACGUUACCUACAGAAGAAGCUCCGGCUAACUCCGUGCCAGCAGCCGCGGUAAUACGGAGGGAGCGAGCGUUAAUCGGAAUUACUGGGCGUAAAGCGCGCGUAGGCGGCUUCGUAAGUCGGAUGUGAAAGCCCCGGGCUCAACCUGGGAAUGGCAUUCGAUACUGCAGAGCUAGAG